CCCAGCAGCCAUAUCACCCUCACAACUAGCAACCCACUGAACCUAAGCAGGUGUGAGCCUGGUCAGUACCUGGAUGGGAGACCUCCUGGGAAAAACAAAGGUUGCUGUUAGAA
rnacentral:rRNA from 1 species